GCCUCAACAAUUCUGUGAUUCUGUAUGUUUAAAAUUUAUUAAAAAGAAAAGAAUAGCAAAAGGUUUUUAAACUAAAAGAAGCUAUACUAAACUAAAAUGAUAUUAUUUUAUUCACCAUGAAGUCACAAGACAGCUGCAUAGGCAAAGUAUGAAAGGAAAUAGAAAAUCAAAGAAAGGGAAACCAAGCGUUCAUAGUGAUAUUGCUUUUUGAUCCUUCAAUGUCAGCUCUUCCUAACGUUGAGAAGCAGAAUUCACCAAGCAUUCAAUUUCCACUCACUAAUAGGGAAUGUGAGCUGGGAUUAGACCGUCAUGAGACAGGUUAGUUUUACUCUACUAAUGAUGUGU
rnacentral:ncRNA from 1 species